GGCGAAUGAAGAGGGAAAAGCCCAAAUUUGUAAUCUGGCUCUUUCAGAGUCCGAGUUGUAAUUUUAAGAACUGUUUUCAGUGCUGGACCAUGUACAAGUCUUCUGAAAAGGAGCAUCAUAGAAGGUGAUAAUCCUGUUCAUGAUAUGGACUACCAGUGCAAUAUGAUACAGUCUCUAAGAGUCGAGUUGUUUGGGAAUGCAGCUCAAAGUGGGUGGUAAAUUCCAUCUAAGGCUAAAUAUUGAUGAGAGACCGAUAGCAAACAAGUACCGUGAGGGAAAGAUGAAAAGAACUUUGGAAAGAGAGUUAACAGUACGUGAAAUUGUUAAAAGGGAACCAAUUGAAGUUAGACUUGUUAUUAAUAGUUCAACCUUUUUCUUAAAAGGAGUAUUCUAUUUAUUAACAGACCAACAUCAAUUUUUGGGUGUUGGAGAAGGGUUUAAGGAAAUGUAGCAGUUUUUGACUGUGUUAUAUUCCUUUGAGCUUUGAUACAAUGCCUAGGAUUGAGGAAUG
rnacentral:rRNA from 1 species